rnacentral:snRNA from 1 species
GAGGUGAGACUACGCCAGCAAGUCAAAGGACAUCUCAGGUGCUCAUUUCAAAACAACGCAGAGGAGAUUCGCACGUCCCCUGCUCAAGGAUGACACACAAAUUCGUGAAGCAUUCCAUAUUUUA